GUCUUAUUGUGGCAUCAUCCUUCACUAUGGCUAUUGUUUUCUUUGGUUUCUUGAGAAUUAUUGGGAGGUUUAUCAGCCCUCUUGCAGCUAUUCCUCUGGUGAUUCUAACAGGACUUGGGCUCUAUGCGCAAGUUGGCGAGAUGCAUCGAAGUUAGACUCCCAGCAUUGGUACCAGCUGUUUUCUUAUCUCAGGUGACCUGCAUUCUUAACCCUUUUGUUACUAAGAACAUUCUUUGCUUUGCCAUUAUCAUGGACAUGUAACAUGAACUUUCCAUCUACAAUUAAGAGUAAGGCUUUGAAUUUUAAAGCCGAGUUGUAUUAUGCAUGUAUCAUUUACAUUCUUUGGGUAGAU